UGGGGAAUCUUGCACAAUGGGCGAAAGCCUGAUGCAGCAACGCCGCGUGCGGGAAGACAGCCCUAGGGUUGUAAACCGCUUUCAGCAGGGAAGAAACUGACGGUACCUGCAGAAGAAGAUGCGGCCAACUACGUGCCAGCAGCCGCGGUGACACGUAGGCAUCAAGCGUUAUCCGGAUUUAUUGGGCGUAAAGAGCUCGUAGGCGGUUCGGUAAGUCGGGUGUGAAAACUCUGGGCUCAACCCAGAGAGGCCACUCGAUACUGCUGUGACUAGAGUGCGGUAGGGGAGCGGGGAAUUCCUGGUGUAGCGGUGAAAUGCGCAGAUAUCAGGAGGAACACCAGUGGCGAAGGCGCCGCUCUGGGCCGUAACUGACGCUGAGGAGCGAAAGCAUGGGUAGCAAACAGGAUUAGAUACCCUGGUAGUCCAUGCCGUAAACGUUGGGCACUAGGUGUGGGUCUCAACCGAACGAGAUCCGCGCCGUCGCUAACGCAUUAAGUGCCCGCCUGGGAGUACGGUCGCAAGACUAAAA
rnacentral:rRNA from 1 species